CAGCAGUAGGGAUCUUCCGCAAUGGACGAAAGUCUGACGGAGCAACGCCGCGUGAGUGAUGAAGGUUUUCGGAUCGUAAAACUCUGUUAUUAGGGAAGAACAAAUGUGUAAGUAACUGUGCACAUCUUGACGGUACCUAAUCAGAAAGCCACGGCUAACUACGUGCCAGCAGCCGCGGUAAUACGUAGGUGGCAAGCGUUAUCCGGAAUUAUUGGGCGUAAAGCGCGCGUAGGCGGUUUCUUAAGUCUGAUGUGAAAGCCCACGGCUCAACCGUGGAGGGUCAUUGGAAACUGGGAAACUUGAGUACAGAAGAGGAAAGUGGAAUUCCAUGUGUAGCGGUGAAAUGCGCAGAGAUAUGGAGGAACACCAGUGGCGAAGGCGACUUUCUGGUCUGUAACUGACGCUGAUGUGCGAAAGCGUGGGGAUCAAACAGGAUUAGAUACCCUGGUAGUCCACGCCGUAAACGAUGAGUGCUAAGUGUUAGGGGGUUUCCGCCCCUUAGUGCUGCAGCUAACGCAUUAAGCACUCCGCCUGGGGAGUACGACCGCAAGGUUGAAACUCAAAGGAAUUGACGGGGCCCGGG
rnacentral:rRNA from 1 species